rnacentral:rRNA from 1 species
UACGAAGGGGGCUAGCGUUGCUCGGAAUCACUGGGCGUAAAGGGUGCGUAGGCGGGUCUUUAAGUCAGGGGUGAAAUCCUGGAGCUCAACUCCAGAACUGCCUUUGAUACUGAGGAUCUUGAGUAUGGGAGAGGUGAGUGGAACUGCGAGUGUAGAGGUGAAAUUCGUAGAUAUUCGCAAGAACACCAGUGGCGAAGGCGGCUCACUGGCCCAUAACUGACGCUGAGGCACGAAGGUCAGGGGAGCAAACGGG